rnacentral:rRNA from 1 species
CCUACGGGUGGCAGCAGUGAGGAAUAUUUGUCAUUGGGCGCCAGCCUGCCCCCUCCCCGUCGCGUUCGUGAUGACGGUCCUAUGGAUUGUAAACCUCUUUUGUCGGGGAGCAAGGCCCGCCACGUGUGGCGGGAAGGAGAGUACCCGAAGAAAAAGCAUCGGCUAACUCCGUGCCAGCAGCCGCGGUAAUACGGAGGAUGCGAGCGUUAUCCGGAUUUAUUGGGUUUAAAGGGUGCGUAGGCGGAAGGUUAAGUCAGCGGUAAAAUGUCGGUGCUCAACACCGGCCUGCCGUUGAAACUGGUCUUCUUGAGUGAGCGAGAAGUAUGCGGAAUGCGUGGUGUAGCGGUGAAAUGCAUAGAUAUCACGCAGAACUCCGAUUGCGAAGGCAGCAUACCGGCGCUCAACUGACGCUGAGGCACGAAAGCGUGGGGAUCGAACAGGAUUAGAUACCCUUGUAGUC